rnacentral:lncRNA from 1 species
UUGCGAUCGGGACAUUUAUAGACUUAAAAAAAGCAUUUGAUACUGUACUGAAGAAAGUACCGGAGCCUAUAAAGGACUGUAUAAUUAUCAAAGGGAUGUAAUCUGACUCAAGGAAUCUAUAACCAAAUAAUAUAAUAAACCUGUGUACAUAUUUAGCUAAGAGUGAGAGGAGACCAAAGCUACGUUUAACAAUUUAAUACAGACAAUAAACUACCCUAGAGAUACACAUUAAACACAUUGACAUAUAAACACUUCAAUACACACUCACACUCUACCUCCCCAAUGCUGUACCCUCCCUUUAACCCAAUCACACAGCACGCACACACGCAGACAGUCCGACCUGAGGUCCCUCGGUGGGCCUAACGAAUGUCCUCGUGCUCGUAGUGCGGCGCCGCUGGGUCGUUGGUGCACUUGGAGUGGGGGUGGGGAGAGGGGGUGAGUAGAAACUGCCCAUAGGCGUCGAUUACGCCGGGGACGCCGGGGACGCGUCCCCACCAGUUUUCGUAAAGACUAAUUUUGUCCCCACCAGAAAAAAAAAAAAAAAAAAAUAUAUAUAUAUAUAUAUAUAUUGUUUUUUAAAAAUGAAUGUUUAAAGCGCUAGACAGAUGCGAACCAAUCCACAAAAAAUCGAUCUGCAUACGGCACACAGCCGUCAACAAUUUGCAACAAUUAUAACAUUUGGAUGAGUAGUUCUAGAAUGGGGGAGGGGUGGGUGCAACGGUGGGCGGCUCCUUCUCUGUGUAAUCUGAACCUGACUGCUUGCUGUGCACUUCCAUGGACAAUCUGCUGCGGUUGCAGCCUCAUGCAUUUGAGGAAAGGAGGUCCGGAGGAGGAACUUGUUUCUGCCAACUCACCUCUUCAUUGCCAUCUACCAGUUCCUGCCUUUCAUUAAGCUCUGGUGUUCCUUAUAAAUAAAUAAAAAUGUGUUAACUCAAUUGAUUAUGCCCUCUAUUUUAUGAGAUGUAUGUGGUGUGCAAACAAAAGUCUUGUAACCUUUAUUGUAAUGAUUUGACCACUAUGACGGUAUGUUGGUUGUGGUAUAUGUUAUCAAUAUUGUAAUUGGUUUUUGACAAAAUAUUGGUUUGGAGUGUGCGGUUGCCUGGUACCAUGGUUGUUACUUGGUACAAAUAAUAUGGAUGAUUUACGACCAUCUAGUGGGGAGUCUGAAAACUGCUAACGAAACGUCAUUGAAGUGAAAAUAAA